UACGGAGGGGGCUAGCGUUGUUCGGAAUUACUGGGCGUAAAGCGCACGUAGGCGGAUCAGUAAGUUAGGGGUGAAAGCCCAGGGCUCAACCCUGGAACUGCCUUUAAUACUGCUGGUCUGGAGUCCGAGAGAGGUGAGUGGAAUUCCGAGUGUAGAGGUAAAUUCGUAGAUAUUCGGAGGAACACCAGUGGCGAAGGCGGCUCACUGGCUCGGUACUGACGCUGAGGUGCGAAAGCGUGGGGAGCGAACAGG
rnacentral:rRNA from 1 species